rnacentral:rRNA from 1 species
CCUACGGGUGGCAGCAGUGAGGAAUAUUGGUCAAUGGGCUUACGCCUGAACCAGCCAAGUCGCGUGAGGGAAGACUGCCCUAUGGGUUGUAAACCUCUUUUGUCAGGGAGCAACGCCGGCUACGUGUAGCCGGACUGAGAGUAACUUAAGAAAAAGCAUCGGCUAACUCCGUGCCAGCAGCCGCGGUAAAACGUAGUAGGCGAGCGUUAUCCGGAGUAAUUGGGUUUAAGGGGUGCUAGGGCGGACUGCCAAGUCAGCGGUAAAAUAGCGGGGCUCAACCUCGCUCCGCCGUUGAAACUGGCGUUCUUGAGUGGGCGAGAAGUAUGCGGAAUGCGUGGUGUAGCGGUGAAAUGCAUAGAUAUCACGCAGAACUCCGAUUGCGAAGGCAGCAUACCGGCGCCCAACUGACGCUGAGGCACGAAAGCGUGGGUAUCGAACAGGAUUAGAUACCCCAGUAGUC